UAGUCCACGCCGUAAACGAUGGUCACUAGUUGUUGGGGUCUUGUACCUCAGUGAUUAAGAGAAAUUGAUAAGUGACCCACCUGGGGAGUACGAUCGCAAGAAUGAAACUCAAAGGAAUUGACGGGGGCCCGCACAAGCGGUGGAGCAUGUGGUUUAAUUCGAUGAUACGCGAGGAACCUUACCAGGGCUUAAAUGUAAGUUGCAUUAGCUAGAGAUAGCUAUUUCUUCGGACCACUUACAAGGUGCUGCAUGGUUGUCGUCAGCUCGUGCCGUGAGGUGUCAGGUUAAGUCCUAUAACGAGCGCAACCCCUGUUGUUAGUUGCCAGCGAGUCAAGUCGGGAACUCUAACAAGACUGCCAGUGCAAACUGUGAGGAAGGUGGGGAUGACGUCAAAUCAUCACGGCCCUUACGUCCUGGGCUACACACGUGCUACAAUGGUAGGUACAGAGAGCAGCCACUGCGUGAGCAGGAGCGAAUCUAUAAAACCUAUCAC
rnacentral:rRNA from 1 species